rnacentral:rRNA from 1 species
UACGUGGGGUGCAAGCGUUAUCCGGAUUUAUUGGGCGUAAAGAGUUCGUAGGCGUCUUAUCAAGUUUUGCUUGAAAUCCUGAGGCUUAACCUCAGAACUGGGUGAAAUACUGGUAAGAUCGAGUCUGUUAGGGGGUACUGGAACUCACGGUGUAGCAGUGAAAUGCGUUGAUAUCAGGAGGAACACCGGUGGCGAAGGCGGGUCUCUGGGCCGAUACUGACGCUGAGGAGCGAAAGCGUGGGGAGCGAACAGG